rnacentral:rRNA from 1 species
AAUCAACGCUGGCGGCGUGCCUAACACAUGCAAGUCGAACGCGGUUACCCCGCAAGGGGUAACUGAGUGGCGAACGGGUGAGUAACACGUGGGUGACCUACCUUCGAAUGGGGGAUAACGUCCCGAAAGGGACGCUAAUACCGCAUAACAUCCUGCUUUUGAACGAGUGGUGAUCAAAGCCGGGGAUCGCAAGACCUGGCGUUUGUUGAGGGGCCCGCGUCUGAUUAGCUAGUUGGUGAGGUAAUGGCCCACCAAGGCGACGAUCAGUAUCCGGCCUGAGAGGGCGGACGGACACACUGGGACUGAGACACGGCCCAGACUCCUACGGGAGGCAGCAGUGGGGAAUUGUUCGCAAUGGGCGCAAGCCUGACGACGCAACGCCGCGUGGAGGAUGAAGGUCUUCGGGAUUGUAAACUCCUGUUGCUCGGGACGAAAAGCUUCGACCUAACACGUUGAAGUCUGACGGUACCGAGUGA